rnacentral:lncRNA from 1 species
GGUUCAUCUAGGUGGUACACACGAACCUAGGGGGCAGGUCUGGCCACAUCCUUCAACCACUGAGGGCAGUCCUUUAUAAGGUGUUGGGUUCUUUCGCAUCAAUAGCAGGUGUGAUUGAUACACUGACAGGGUAAUUCACCAUGCGAGCGGCCAUAAUAAUAACAUGGUUGGAAAGGUUAGGCAAGCUUUCUAGUAGGUGGAGGUAGGGCAGGGGGAAGGGCAACUCGGGCUCGUUUAUAAGGGUGGCUACUUACUGGGUUGGGCAAUCUUCAUCUGGGUUGUUAGGGUUAUUGUUGUCGGUUACGGACUCGGAAAAUGUGUUGGUGCUUGGCCGAAAUGCAAUUUUUGGACAACUGGGCAUGUUCUAGCACCUUGGCAUACGAGCUGAGUCUCAGCAUCGUAACCCAGUCAUAGAUAUAAGCAUG